UUCCUCAAGGAGCGCUGCAACCCCAUCCGGGGUGAGGCUUGAGGGGUUGGCUUUCAUUCAACGGCGCUCUGAAACC
rnacentral:ncRNA from 2 species